rnacentral:rRNA from 1 species
GAUGAACGCUGGCGGCGUGCUUAACACAUGCAAGUCGAACGAAGCACCUUGAUUUGAUUCUUCGGAUGAAGAUCUUGGUGACUGAGUGGCGGACGGGUGAGUAACGCGUGGGUAACCUGCCUCAUACAGGGGGAUAACAGUUAGAAAUGACUGCUAAUACCGCAUAAGACCACAGCACCGCAUGGUGCAGGGGUAAAAACUCCGGUGGUAUGAGAUGGACCCGCGUCUGAUUAGGUAGUUGGUGGGGUAACGGCCUACCAAGCCGACGAUCAGUAGCCGACCUGAGAGGGUGACCGGCCACAUUGGGACUGAGACACGGCCCAAACUCCACGGGAGGCAGCAGUGGGGAAUAUUGCACAAUGGGGGAAACCCUGAUGCAGCGACGCCGCGUGAGCGAUGAAGUAUUUCGGUAUGUAAAGCUCUAUCAGCAGGGAAGAAAAUGACGGUACCUGACUAAGAAGCACCGGCUAAAUACGUG